UUGAUCCUGGCUCAGAAUGAACGUUGGCGGCGUGGAUUAGGCAUGCAAGUCGUGCGACAAGUUUCCCUUCGGGGAAAUGGAGGAGCGGCGCAAGGGAGAGUAACGCGUGGAUACCUGCCCCGAGGUCCGGGAUAGCCCAUCGAAAGGUGGGGUAAUNACCGGAUAACAUCUCCGGAUCAAAGGUGUGAUUCCGCCUCGGGAUGGGUCCGCGUCCUAUUAGCUUGUUGGUGGGGUAAUGGCCUACCAAGGCGACGAUGGGUAGUGGGCGUUAGCGCGUGGCCCGCCUCACUGGGACUGAGACACUGCCCAGACACCUACGGGUGGCUGCAGUCGAGAAUCUUCGGCAAUGGGCGCAAGCCUGACCGAGCGACGCCGCGUGCGGGAUGAAGGCCUUCGGGUUGUAAACCGCUGUCAGAGGGGAGGAAGGGUCCGUGAAGAGCGGAACUUGACCUAUCCUCAGAGGAAGUGCGGGCUAAGUUCGUGCCAGCAGCCGCGGUAAGACGAACCGCACAAACGUUAUUCGGAAUCACUGGGCUUAAAGGGUGCGUAGGCGGCCGUUCAAGUCGGGUGUGAAAGCCCUCAGCUUAACUGAGGAAUUGCGCCCGAUACUGUUCGGCUUGAGGGAGACAGAGGUGAGCGGAACUUGCGGUGGAGCGGUGAAAUGCGUUGAUAUCGCAAGGAACACCAGUAGCGAAAGCGGCUCACUGGGUCUCUUCUGACGCUGAGGCACGAAAAGCUAGGGUAGCGAAGAGGAUUAGAUACCCUCGUAGUCCUANGCUGUAACGCUGAGCACUUGGAUUGGAGGGUCCUCCA
rnacentral:rRNA from 1 species